rnacentral:rRNA from 1 species
CAGUAGCCGCGGGAAUACGAAGGGGGCUAGCGUUGUUCGGAAUAACUGGGCGUAAAGGGCGCGUAGGCGGAUCUUUAAGUCAGGGGUGAAAUCCCAAGGCUCAACCUUGGAACUGCCUUUGAUACUGGAGAUCUUGAGUCCGGGAGAGGUGAGUGGAACUGCGAGUGUAGAGGUGAAAUUCGUAGAUAUUCGGAAGAACACCAGUGGCGAAGGCGACUGACUGGACAAGUAUUGACGCUGAGGUGCGAAAGCGUGGGGAGCAAACAGGAUUAGAUACCCGCGUAGUCCCUGUCUCUUAUAC